rnacentral:tRNA from 1 species
GAAGGUAGAGCUCAGUGGUAGAGCAUGCGCUUAGCAUGACCAAGGUCCUGGGUUCAGUCCCCAGUACCUCCA